CCGAGAAUAUUCGACAAUGGGCGAAAGCCUGAUCGAGCGAUACCGCGUGGUGGAUGAAGUGCUUCGGCACGUAAACAUCUUUUAUGAGGGAGGAAGUUAUUGACGUUACCUCAUGAAUAAGGGGCUCCUAACUCUGUGCCAGCAGGAGCGGUAAUACAGAGGCCCCGAGCGUUACCCGGAAUUACUGGGCGUAAAGAGUGCGUAGGUGGCCAUGUUAGUCGGCUGUUAAAUACCCAGAGCUCAACUUGGGGAAUCCGGUCGAAACGGCAUGACUCGAGGGAGUGAGAGGUGAAUGGAACUCUAGGUGUAGGGGUGAAAUCCGUUGAUAUCUAGGGGAACACCGAAAGCGAAGGCAAUUCACUGGCACUUUCCUGACACUCAAGCACGAAAGCGUGGGUAGCGAACGGGAUUAGAUACCCCCGUAGUCC
rnacentral:rRNA from 1 species